rnacentral:rRNA from 1 species
GGCGGCCAUGGCCCAGGUGAGACGCCCGGUCCCAUUCCGAACCCGGAAGCUAAGGCCUGGCACGGCGAUGGUACUGCACCCGACAGGGUGUGGGAGAGUAGCACGCCGCCGCAUCA